rnacentral:lncRNA from 1 species
UUUAACUAGCAUGAUAAUUUCUUUCUGUAAUACCUACCAGAAUCUUGAUGUAUAAUAGUACCUAUUAUUUUAGAGGGACAUUUGGCAUGAUGUUUGUUCCAAGAUUUUGUUUCUGCAUUUCUCAUGUACCAAGAAGUCCUGGUUAAAAAUAGUCUUUUUGAGAAUCCUGUGGCCUGUGUCUUAAGGACAGUUGUAUACAGA